UGAGGUUGGCAGGGUCACUCUCUUUAGUAACUGCCAGGAGAAGGAGCUCCUACACAAGAGAGCUGCCUGUCACAUUUUGCCGCCUGCUUGGCUGCCUCCAGCUAUUCAGAAACAGAUCCAGGAUUUUACAAAGGGAGGUGCAGUUGCAGCAACUGGUGCUGCAGGGGUGGCUGUACCUCCAGCACCCCAUCUUCUCUACAUCACUCAGAACACACCAUAUGAGCAGCAGCUGGGGACUUGAAUCCCCCAAAAAGAACCUGCUGGAUGUGGGGGAGACCCAGCUGCUGCUAGUGGAGAUGGGGCCCCAAGGAUGCUCUGCAUGUGCUGGCUCUGUCAGCACUGGAGCCAGGAUCAGAUGGCUCUCCUCGAGCAGCUGGUCACUGUCUCUGAGGCCCAGCUCAAGGAUAGUUGGACCUGACACAGCAAAUUCUGCAAGAUGUGGCAGGCCAUGGACUGGGCAGACUGCAAGGUAUACCUUGUCCUCCUGCAGAGGCAGGUGGUGGUCGAGGAGGAGCAGCACACCAUGGUGCGAUAAGUGGUGGAGGCCACCGAGGAUGAUUGGCAUGUUCUUGACAUGGUGUUGGCACUGGCAGUGUCUUUUGUCCCACCUGGCAUCCAGGCUCCAGCCCCAGGCCUGGCUGGCUGGUGGCAGCCACCUGUGGGCCUGCUUCACCCCCUCCCCACCACAGUGGGCAUGAAAGAAGGUGCAGCACUGCCUGCAGUGGCCAGGGCCCCCAGCCCCUGCUCCAGAUCCUGGAUCCCAAGUGGCUGGACUCCCUACCUCACCCUGCCUUGAUGUGGCCCCUGAGUGGGAGGUGGCUGUGGCAAAGCCAACUCCCCAUGCAGGCUCUGCUGGGCCAGCCCUGUGGAAAAGAAGGGAGAGUGGCCUGAGAAGGCUGGAGAGUGUCCGCCUGCAUCCUUGGGCCAGCCCCUGGCCCGCCAGACUCACUGUGCCAUCUGAACCCAAGGUACUGGCAGCUGAGACUGGGGUUCUGGGUGCCUGCCUCCAGUCUCCAUGCUCUAGUCACCUCUUCCCCACUGUUCCCCCUCAGAUACUUAUAGAUAUACACUGUACAUAGUUCUGUGGGGAUGAGUGUGCUUUAUUGGUGGUAUGUGUUUUGGCUGGGGAGGGUGC